UUGAAGUUGUCCAAAUCACACAGAACCACGCGAUAUCUCAAAACGAUAAGUUAUUGAUAAUAUGGCGGCUUUAAUUAGGGCACAGAGUAGAAUAUUGAUUACGUUUUAAGGGAGGCAGGGGUUUUAGGCAGGAUUUGAUUCAUGAUGUGUGUGUAGAUAUUAAUGUUAGGGGACAAUAUGAGAGAUGUGUACGUUUUAGUAGAAGCACGUAUUAUCUGAUCCACAAUCCGGAACAGAAGAGGGCAGUAAUGCACCAAUAAAACUGGAUGCCAACCGCAUUUAAACUGGAAAGAAGACGAAUAUGAUAGCUUGCUGUGAGAGACAAAGGUGAGAAUAUUUUUCCCCCGAAAUAAUUAUUUAAAUUGAAGUGUAUAAGUCAUUUUCAUACAGUGGUAUUGUUUUUGGAGUUAAUCAUUUUUUUAAAACUAAGGCGUAAAGUAAGCAACAUAUAAGCAAAAGGUCUAAAGACCUUAUCCCCAGGUUUCACCUACAUAAUAUAGCAUAUUUGUGAUUUUGCUGUAAAAAAUUUUUUUAUAAUGCAUAACUAACAGUGAAGCUCCAUUAAGUACAUGACUCAAUAGUGGAUUUACAUAAACCACAUAUACUUCUUGAAGACUAUUACUUCUUGUGACCGACAAACUGCGCGCCAGUGGCAUGCUGGGUAACAUAAUUUCAAUCAAUCGAUCAAUUUUUUUUUUAGAUUAAUACAGUAAUGUCAUUUGUACUGAACUCCUGACAUUUAAAGUAAUAUGCAGCUUAUAUCCAUCAUAUAAAUGUGAACUUUAUAUGAUGUGCAGAAAGCUGUCGACAUCAGUAUUUGACCUUCAAGCAAGCACCACACACACACACACACACACACACUUCCUUAUUCUCAACUGACACAAAAUCAUAUCAACAGCAAUUCAUUAUAAUGACUCAUCUUCUAACAUGGCUCACUGGCUCUUCCUCUCUCAGAUUUGCACACACAAAUACAUUUGAAAAAGCCUUUUUAGUACUAGGAGCAAGUGGAUGUUCAAAUCAUAUCAUAUGUUGAGAUGUCUACAAGUACACUGUGACUGUGCCUUCCUCUCAAGUCUAGGCAUGACCUUUUAUAAAGUCUAUGAUCAUGACACAUUUACUCAUUCAGACCACUACUUACACACCCUCCACUUCCAACAUACAUUGAGCAACAUGAGGCCAGUUUUACAAGAAAGACAGAAAGUGAUUGAGAGAUGGCGUUCAUAGUCCCUGUCAACCGAUAAAGGCUUCAUGAAUGACAUAACGGUACUUUGAGGUACUUUCAAGACUAUUACUAAAUAUCUAUUUAUCAUCUGACAGGAUAAUGUUUGAUAAGUAUUGUAGAUGAGCACAUCUAAUAGACAUGAAACCGGUGUCUGAGUGAUAUGUGUUUGUGAUAUUGUGUAGAAUUCACUUUUGUCAACAAUGCUAUAGAUGAGUGUAAGUCAUGUAAACAAACAAAUCUAUGUAAAGUAACUAAACAUAAGUUAUCUAUUUUAUUUGUCCAUUUGCAAUAUUGCAUAUAAUUUAAGGAACAUUUGUGUUGGAUAAAAAGCGAGUUACAUCAGUUAUUAUCUCAACAUGUAAAUGCAGUAUAUCACAGAUAUAUGACAGAGGAGACUGACUCUUGUCUGGAUGUUACAGGGACAAAUGAGACACGUGUGUUUAUCUGCUGCAGAGACACUGAUGAAGGAAUGCUGCCAUCAAAGGAUUUGUGAUAUGAAAAUGUCUGUGUGUGCACUGAGGAUGGAGAAGACCACAGCAUCAUCCUGGAAAUGAUCAAGAGUCACAGAUUAGACGCUCCAUCACUCCACCUGCCCUUUACUGUCUCAUCAGGAGCAGAUGCUGCUGUGGUGUCUUCAUCCUCAGUUCGAAUACCAGGGAACACAU